UACGAAGGGUGCAAACGUUGCUCGGAAUUAUUGGGCGUAAAGCGCACGUAGGCGGCUUUGUAAGUCGGAUGUGAAAUCCCUCGGCUUAACCAAGGAAGUGCAUCCGAAACUACAGAGCUUGAGUACUUAAGAGGAUCGCGGAAUUCCCGGUGUAGAGGUGAAAUUCGUAGAGAUCCGGAGGAACACCCGUGGCGAAGGCGGCCCCCUGGGCCGCGCCUGACGCUGAGACGCGAAAGCGCGGGGAGCGAACGGG
rnacentral:rRNA from 1 species